GACGAACGCUGGCGGCGUGCUUAACACAUGCAAGUCGAACGGAAAGGCCCUGCUUUUGUGGGGUGCUCGAGUGGCGAACGGGUGAGUAACACGUGAGUAACCUGCCCUUGACUUUGGGAUAACUUCAGGAAACUGGGGCUAAUACCGGAUAGGAGCUCCUGCUGCAUGGUGGGGGUUGGAAAGUUUCGGCGGUUGGGGAUGGACUCGCGGCUUAUCAGCUUGUUGGUGGGGUAGUGGCUUACCAAGGCUUUGACGGGUAGCCGGCCUGAGAGGGUGACCGGCCACAUUGGGACUGAGAUACGGCCCAGAAUGCUACGGGAGGCAGCAGGGGGGAAUAUUGCACAAUGGGCGGAAGCCUGAUGCAGCAACGCCGCGUGCGGGAUGACGGCCUUCGGGUUGUAAACCGCUUUCGCCUGUGACGAAGCGUGAGUGACGGUAAUGGGUAAAGAAGCACCGGCUAACUACGUG
rnacentral:rRNA from 1 species